rnacentral:rRNA from 1 species
AACGAACGCUGGCGGCGUGCCUAACACAUGCAAGUCGAACGAGAAAGGGGCUUCGGCUCCGAGUCAAGUGGCGCACGGGUGAGUAACACGUGGGUAACCUGCCUCUAAGAUUGGGAUAACUCGUCGAAAGAUGAGCUAAUACCGAAUAAGACCACAGUUCCCGCGGGAACAGGGGUCAAAGGUAGCCUCUGCUUGCAAGCUAUCACUUAGAGAUGGGCCUGCGCACCAUUAGCUAGUUGGUAGGGUAACGGCCUACCAAGGCAAAGAUGGUUAGCUGGUCUGAGAGGAUGAUCAGCCACACUGGAACUGAGACACGGUCCAGACUCCUACGGGAGGCAGCAGUGGGGAAUAUUGCGCAAUGGGCGAAAGCUUGACGCAGCAACGCCGCGUGAGUGAUGAAGGCCUUCGGGUCGUAAAGCUCUGUCGGGAGGAACGAAGGCUCCUGAGGUUAACAGCCUCGGGAGGUGACGGUACCUUCAAAGGAAGCACCGGCUAACUCUGU